rnacentral:rRNA from 1 species
CAAGUCGAACGAAGAUCGUUAUAAAAAGGAUUGAAGAUUUAUCGGAUUGAGAUUUUAUAACAAUGGUCUUAGUGGCGGACUGGUGAGUAACGCGUAAGGAACCUGCCUUUUAGAGGGGAAUAACAAUGAGAAAUCAUUGCUAAUACCGCAUAUGCCAUAGUUAUCACAUGAUAAUAGUGGGAAAGGAGCAAUUCGCUAAAAGAUGGCCUUGCGUCUGAUUAGAUAGUUGGUAAGGUAACGGCUUACCAAGUCGACGAUCAGUAGCCGGACUGAGAGGUUGAACGGCCACAUUGGGACUGAGAUACGGCCCAGACUCCUACGGGAGGCAGCAGUCGGGAAUAUUGCGCAAUGGAGGAAACUCUGACGCAGUGACGCCGCGUAUAGGAAGAAGGUUUUCGGAUUGUAAACUAUUGUCGUUAGGGAAGAGAAAGGACAGUACCUAAGGAGGAAGCUCCGGCUAACUACGUGCCAGCAGCCGCGGUAAUACGUAGGGAGCGAGCGUUAUCCGGAAUUAUUGGGUGUAAAGGGUGCGUAGACGGGAAAGCAAGUUAGUUGUGAAAUCCCUCGGCUUAACUGAGGAACUGCAACUAAAACUACUUUUCUUGAGUGCAGGAGAGGUAAGUGGAAUUCCUAGUGUAGCGGUGAAAUGCGUAGAUAUUAGGAGGAACACCAGUGGCGAAGGCGGCUUACUGGACUGUAACUGACGUUGAGGCUCGAAAGC